UACGUAGGGGGCAAGCGUUGUUCGGAAUUACUGGGCGUAAAGCGCGCGUAGGCGGUCUGGCAAGUCAGAUGUGAAAGCCCCGGGCUCAACUUGGGAACUGCAUUUGAUACUGCCAAGCUAGAGUACAGAAGAGGUGACUGGAAUUCCCAGUGUAGCGGUGAAAUGCGUAGAUAUUCGGAAGAACACCAGUGGCGAAGGCAGUCCCCUGGGCCUGUACUGACGCUCAUGCACGAAAGCGUGGGGAGCAAACAGG
rnacentral:rRNA from 1 species